UGGGCAUGGCCAAGGUAGAAGUCACCCAGGUGCUGGGCCCCUGUAUAUGUCAUAAUCCGACCUGUCAGCCAGGACCAGGUAGAAAGUCAAAUAACCUAGGCCCUGCAACAUUGCACCCAGGUAAGAGAGCCAAAUCACCUAAGUGCUGGACCCAGGAAUGGAUUACUGUCUAUCCUACUUCCCCAAAAGAGAAUUAACAGCAUAGAAAUUAUGCCUAAAAGCCAGGUAUUUAUAUACCAGGUCUUGUUUCCCCUUUACAUCUAUUGAUCCAAACCAAUAAAACCGCAACCUUUCUCAUAAGGAAAUCCUUUGUUUCCUUCAGAUGGCAUCAGAAGUGGGAUCUGAAGCAGAGCUUCUAAUGACUCCCAGGAGUGCUGAGUGACCAAGCAAGGUACCUGCCGGGCCCACAGUGCCCACUGCUUUCUCGCAGCAACUGGGGAUCAUGGAAAGUUCUCAGAUUUUGAAGUUCCACGGAUUUGUGUUUUGAGCGCUCCAAGUUUCUUUGAGCAAAUUUCUGAUCCAAACUGGGUUUGGAAGUCGUGACCAAAACUGGACUGGGUCAAGGAUAGAAUAUGGUAAUUAACUGUCUUGGAUCCAGUUAGAGGCCUCUUACAUCUGACGGGGUCAAAAAGAACCCAGGUUUCUCUUACUGAUAACUCUGGAUUGAGUUGUUUCCAUUAAAUCAACAAUAUUAAAUGUCUUGGGGUGGAGCCAAGAUGGCCAAAUAAGAACAGCUCCAGUCUACAACUCCCAGCAUGAGCGACGCAGAAGACGGGUGAUUUCUGCAUUUCCAACUGAGCUACCGGAGUUUUAGCCAAUUCAGAUGCUUUGUUCCCCACAAUUUGGAACAUUCCUUUGGAUGUGACCAAGUCAGGAAAAGAUGGUCAUACUUCAUGGGAGAAAUGUGAAACAACAAAACCCCAAACAUAAACAAAAACAGUUUAGCAAAACAAACAAAUUCAUAUGAAUACCAAGUGUUCUAACAGUAAGGAGAAAUUAAAACCAGCUGGUUGGUAAUCUUAACUUUUAGUCAUUAAGGAACAUUUUUAAGACAAAACUCUAAUUCAGCUACUUACCUGGAAAUAAAGCUCAGGCUGAUGAUCGCUCUCUACCAUCAUAGAGAGGCAGGAAAAAACUCACACUCACCUUCUCUGUCAGAAGCAAGUUGAAACUCAAGAAAGAAGGUGCCUGCUCUCCAUCGUCAUGGAAGCAGGAAAACUUGCCUUCCUUGUUGGAAAUGAGUAAAACUUCAGAAAAGGAGUUGUACAGCAAAAUAACUUCAAAUAGCAACCAAAUUUUGGGAGAUCAGGGACUCUCUGGAGGGGAGAAGCUCCCCAAGCUCCACAAAUUAGCCUAUUGGCUUGAGAAAUAAAGAUAACCCAGGUUGGUAUCAAGCAAAAAUAAAAGAUUUAUCAAAGGUCAGGGCCAUCUUUGUAAUGUCCUUCUCUGCCUUUUUUUUAAUCUUUAUUGGU
rnacentral:lncRNA from 1 species